rnacentral:rRNA from 1 species
AGAUUGAACGCUGGCGGCGUGCCUAACACAUGCAAGUCGAGCGGUAACAGGUGUAGCAAUACAUGCUGACGAGCGGCGAACGGGUGAGUAAUGCUUCGGAAUCUACCUUAUGGUGGGGAAUAACUAGCCGAAAGGUUAGCUAAUACCGCAUACGACCUACGGGGUGAAAGCGGAGGACCUUCGGGCUUCGCGCAGAUAGAUGAGCCGACGUCGGAUUAGCUAGUUGGCGGGGUAAAGGCCCACCAAGGCGACGAUCCGUAGCUGGUCUGAGAGGAUGAUCAGCCACACUGGAACUGAGACACGGUCCAGACUCCUACGGGAGGCAGCAGUGGGAAUAUUGGACAAUGGACGCAAGCCUGAUCAGCCAUGCCGCGUGUGUGAAGAAGGCCUUGGUUGUAAAGCACUUUGUCCGAAAGAAAAGACACCGGUUAAUACCCUGGUGUCAUGACGGUACCGGAAGAAUAAGCAACCGGCUAAACUUCGUACGCCAAG